GCCGGGAUAGCUCAGUUGGUAGAGCGAUAGACUGAAAAUCUAUGCGUCCCCAGUUCAAGUCUGGGUCCCGGCA
rnacentral:tRNA from 1 species